CUUUCCAAUGCUUGGAAAGUGUCUCAGGUGUGAGUUGGUGGUGCCUGCACUCCCAGCAGCUAAGGUAGAAACAUAUGGGAAACUGCAUUCCAAUCCAGGGAAGUAUAGGAAGCAGUAAUAAAAGUGGGAAGACCUAUUACAAGUUUGUUGCAGUCAUCCAGCUGCUGAUUUUCUCUCGAGGGCUCACCCCCCUGGACUCUGGGUGGUCCUGGGAGGAUGUGAACCCUGUACCCUGACUCGCAUCACUGAGGCCAAGGGUCUGGACCCCUCCUCCUCCUCCUGCCCCAGCACUGCAGGGAACCCGGCAGGACAGCUGUCCUCUGGGACUCUUGAGUUCACUCACUUCAGCCACCGAGCACUGACUGUGUUUCCACCAAAGGGCAGUUCCUGCGGCGUCUACCUCCCCUCUCCAAGGUGCCAGGGUUACUGCCUGUCCUCCAGGCUUCCAUGGCAUCACUGUCUCUCCAGAUCAUCUCAUUCUAUUCUCUCAUUGCUCCAGUGAGCCUGGAUGGUUUUCUGUUGCCGACAACAAAAAACCCCAACUGAUACCCUUCCCCUUCCCCAAGGUCACUUACCCAGGGCAAGGUCCAGCCUGAGAUUUGAGUUCCUAGUGAGUCCACUAUAGGGGCACAGCUAUGAGCUGAAUUGUGCCUCUCUCCAGGUUCAUUCCUAACCCCUGAGACCUCAGAAUGGGACAGUAUUUGGAGACACGGUCUUUAUUGAGCUAAUACAGGUUAAAUAGUUUACUGAGGGAAUCCUCAUCCAAU
rnacentral:lncRNA from 1 species